rnacentral:hammerhead_ribozyme from 1 species
AUCCAGCUGGCGCGUCCUAAAUGGGACGAAACGCGCGUCAAACUGGAU